rnacentral:rRNA from 1 species
GAUGAACGCUGGCGGCGUGCUUAACACAUGCAAGUCGAACGGAAAGGCCCAAGCUUGCUUGGGUACUCGAGUGGCGAACGGGUGAGUAACACGUGGGUGAUCUGCCCUGCACUUCGGGAUAAGCCUGGGAAACUGGGUCUAAUACCGGAUAGGACGAUGGUUUGGAUGCCAUUGUGGAAAGUUUUUUCGGUGUGGGAUGAGCUCGCGGCCUAUCAGCUUGUUGGUGGGGUAAUGGCCUACCAAGGCGUCGACGGGUAGCCGGCCUGAGAGGGUGUACGGCCACAUUAGGACGGAGAUACGGCCCAGACUCCUACGGGAGGCAGCAGUGGGGAAUAUUGCACAAUGGGCGCAAGCCUGAUGCAGCGACGCCGCGUGGGGGAUGACGGCCUUCGGGUUGUAAACUCCUUUCGCUAGGGACGAAGCGUUUUUGUGACGGUACCUGGAGAAGAAGCACCGGCUAACUACGUG